AUGGUUCGUUCCCGUGCUCAUGCUUCCCAGCGUAUUCGCUCCACGUCGUUGGGUUCCUCUUCCUCGGUGGGUUCUUCUUUGCCGGUUGGUGCUGUUGAUGGGAGGUUUCUUGCCCAAGGUUCGAGUGCUGAUGAGGCGCGGCUGCGACGCCAGGCACGGCAAGAUAUCCGUCGUGGGAAGCGUCCUGUAGAUUCAUCGUCUGUUGGAAGGAACGUUCGGCCUGUACUUGAAGAGCUGGUUGAUCCUUGUCUUCUUGCUGUUAGAGCUGCAUCUGGCGUGGAAGUUUUGUGUCGUCCGUAUUUUACUGUUGGUUGGUUGUCUGGUUCCUCGCGUGGACCGACUCCUUCUGUUCUUCCUACACCUGUUGUUAGUCGUGUUGAUGCUGUUUGGAAUCGUCGGAAGCGAAGGAUUCUUCGAGAUUAUUACACCAGCAAAAAAAGAGUUCCUGCUAUGGAGCCGCCAUUUGCUAAGGAAAAUAUAUUACUUCUUAAAGGCGUUUCACGUGUUCGCUCUUAUUAUGGUGGUCCUGAGUAUGUUUGCCCGGCGUGCCAUGCUUCAUUUUGGUUUCUGGAGGGCUGUAAGAGUUAUGCUACUGGUGGUGGUCGCCUUCCAGUGUAUACUGGCUGCUGCAAGGGAGGCAAGGUGUCGUUGCCUUCAUUUCCCGGGGGUCCCUAUGUCUUCAAGAUGAAUGGGGUGGUUUAUCAUCGUAUUGGUCCUCUUCUUCCUUCGGGGAAUAGUGCGCCAAAGUAUGCUCAGCUUUAUAUGGUGGAAUCUGCUGAUGAAGUGCAGUUGAGAAUUAGUGCCUUUGAUCGUCAAGGAGCUGAAACGCUUGAUCCUGAUCCAGGCAUUGUGGCUUCUCUUAUUGCUAUGUUAAAUAGGCAUCAUAAAUUGGUGCAUAAGUUUAGAAUGGCUAGGGAAAAUCUGUGUUCUCCUUCUGCUCCUAGGGUGGCUAUACAUUUUAUGGGUGAUGAAGGCGGUGGUCAUGGUGACCGUUUUUCUGGUCCUGCUUCAUGUGAGGUGGUUGCUCUUAUAGUCGGCGAUUACACGCCUGAAUGUAAAAGAUUUGAUGUUAUUGCUGAAACUCGCUCUGGUUUUCUUCGGCAUAUCUCUUCAUUGAAUUCGAGUCUUAUGCCCCCACAGUAUCCUCUCUUAUUUCCCUUUGGUGACAAAGGAUUUCAUCUUGGUAUCAAGUAUAUUGCUAUUGGUGGGCCUCAUGGAGAUGGGCAUUGUAAUAUUGGUGGACGUUUAUGUGGUCGUUCUUCUCGAGGGCAAGUAUCUAUGAUGGAAUACUAUAAUUAUUACUUCCAUUAUAGACGGGGGGAGCCAAAUCCUUAUACCUGUUGCGGUCGUUUGAGCCAGCAGAUAGGUGUGAAUUCUUAUUCUUGUGUGGAAGCUAAUCGUUUGGACUUUCACUUUCAGCAACAAGAUGAUUUACGUUCUGAGACGUAUCAAGGUAUUACUGAUGCUGUCGGACAGGGUGGAUCAACUGGUGAGAAUUUGAGGAUUCAGUUUAUAUUACAUUCGAGUUUUACGGGUGGCCCUCGGUACAUGGUGCUUAAUUACCAUGAUGGUAUGGCUAUUUGUCGCGAAUAUGGUGCUCCCGAUCUUUUUGUCACUUUUACAUGCAAUCCAAAGUGGCAAGAAGUUGUUGAUGCUCUCGCAUAUGAAGGUGGUCAGACUCACGUUGAUCGUCCUGACAUUGUUACGUGUGUUUUCAAUAUAAAAUUUGAAGAAUUUUUAGAAGAUGUAAAGGAUGGAUCAGCAUUUGGAGCUAUUCAAGCUUAUUUGUAUGUGGUGGAAUUUCAAAAGAGAGGGCUUCCUCAUACUCAUACUCUUAUCUGGCUUAAAGAGAGUACGAAGGAUCCUUCGCCUGCUUUUAUAGAUAAUCUGGUGUGUGCUGAGUUACCAGAUCCAAUGGUUGACCCUUUGGGAUAUACACUUGUGGAUGAAUUCAUGGUUCACGGCCCAUGUGGUAUGUUGGAUGACAAGUGCCCUUGUAUGAAAGAUGGCACUUGCUCAAAGCGAUUUCCAAAGUCUUUUAACAGUGAGACAAUGGUGGAUGAGAUGGGGUUUCCUGUAUAUCGUCGACGCCCCUCUGCUAAUUUUGUUCUUAGAAAGAAGGGGACUCUUCUUUUGGAUAAUCAAUGGGUUGUUCCCUACAAUAUGAAAUUCCUCAAAAAGUUUGAGGCUCAUAUAAAUGUUGAGUGGUGCAAUAAGACAAACCUUCUUAAGUAUUUGUUUAAGUAUCUCACAAAAGGCCCUGAUGUAGUACGAUUCCGAAUCCGUUCUGAAAAUGAAAAUAGAAGCGUGUAUGCUGUCCGUAAUCCAACUGGGAGGAAUGAAAUCGAUGAAUAUGUUAAAUGCAGGUUAAUACAUUGGUUUGUAAAUUUGUUCUGCUUACUCUAUGUGUAUUCUGUUCAUUUAUCCUAUUUAUUCAGUUUUCUGUUGUUUGCUGUAGGUAUUUAUCUGCUUGCGAAUCAUUUUGGACAAUGUUUGGCUAUGAUAUUCAUGGUCGACAACCUUCUGUCGAGAGAUUAG
rnacentral:rRNA from 1 species